AGCAGCCGCGGUAAUUCCAGCUCCAAUAGCGUAUAUUAAAGUUGUUGCAGUUAAAAGCUCGUAGUUGAAUUUCGGGAUUAAUAUGUUGGUCGUGCCUUGGUACGUACUGGCAUUAUUGAUUCCUACCUUCUGAAGAACCUCGAUGUCAUUAAUUUGGUGUCUUGGGGAAUCAGGACCGUUACUUUGAAAAAUUAGAGUGUUUAAAGCAGGCUCGCGCUUGAAUACAUUAGCAUGGAAUAAUGAAAUAGGACGUUUGAUUCUAUUUUGUUGGUUUCUAGGAUCGACGUAAUGAUUAAUAGGGAUAGUUGGGGGCAUUAGUAUUCAAUUGUCAGAGGUGAAAUUCUUGGAUUUAUUGAAGACUGACUACUGCGAAAGCAUUUGCCAAGGAUGUUUUCAUUAAUCAAGAACGAAAGUUAGGGAUCGAAGACGAUCAGAUACCGUCGUAGUCUUAACCAUAAACUAUGCCGACUAGGGAUCGGAUGAUGUUAAUUUUUAAUGACUCAUUCGGCGCCUUAACC
rnacentral:misc_RNA from 1 species